AAGCAACGCGAAGAACCUUACCAGGUCUUGACAUCUCCUGACAACCCUAGAGAUAGGGCGUUCCCCUUCGGGGGACAGGAUGACAGGUGGUGCAUGGUUGUCGUCAGCUCGUGUCGUGAGAUGUUGGGUUAAGUCCCGCAACGAGCGCAACCCUUGAUUUUAGUUGCCAGCAUUCAGUUGGGCACUUUAAGGUGACUGCCGGUGACAAACCGGAGGAAGGUGGGGAUGACGUCAAAUCAUCAUGCCCCUUAUGACCUGGGCUACACACGUGCUACAAUGGAUGGUACAAAGGGCUGCAAGACCGCGAGGUUAAGCGAAUCCCAUAAAACCAUUCUCAGUUCGGAUUGCAGGCUGCAACUCGCCUGCAUGAAGCUGGAAUCGCUAGUAAUCGCGGAUCAGCAUGCCGCGGUGAAUACGUUCCCGGGCCUUGUACACACCGCCCGUCACACCACGAGAGUUUGUAACACCCGAAGUCGGUGGGGU
rnacentral:rRNA from 1 species